rnacentral:tRNA from 1 species
GGAAGGUUCGCAUAGUGGCCGAGUGCGCCGCCUUGGAAAGGCGGUAUAUCCGAAAGGGUAUCGAGAGUUCGAAUCUCUCACCUUCCG